rnacentral:rRNA from 1 species
GUCGAGCGGUAACAGGUCCUUCGGGAUGCUGACGAGCGGCGGACGGGUGAGUAAUGCAUAGGAAUCUGCCCGGUAGUGGGGGAUAACCUGGGGAAACCCAGGCUAAUACCGCAUACGUCCUACGGGAGAAAGGGGGCUUCGGCUCCCGCUAUUGGAUGAGCCUAUGUCGGAUUAGCUGGUUGGUGAGGUAACGGCUCACCAAGGCGACGAUCCGUAGCUGGUCUGAGAGGAUGAUCAGCCACAUCGGGACUGAGACACGGCCCGAACUCCUACGGGAGGCAGCAGUGGGGAAUAUUGGACAAUGGGGGCAACCCUGAUCCAGCCAUGCCGCGUGUGUGAAGAAGGCCCUCGGGUUGUAAAGCACUUUCAGCGAGGAAGAACGCCUGGCGGUUAAUACCCGCCAGGAAAGACAUCACUCGCAGAAGAAGCACCGGCUAACUCCGUGCCAGCAGCCGCGGUAAUACGGAGGGUGCAAGCGUUAAUCGGAAUUACUGGGCGUAAAGCGCGCGUAGGUGGCUUGAUAAGCCGGUUGUGAAAGCCCCGGGCUCAACCUGGGAACGGCAUCCGGAACUGUCAGGCUAGAGUGCAGGAGAGGAAGGUAGAAUUCCCGGUGUAGCGGUGAAAUGCGUAGAGAUCGGGAGGAAUACCAGUGGCGAAGGCGGCCUUCUGGACUGACACUGACACUGAGGUGCGAAAGCGUGGGUAGCAAACAGGAUUAGAUACCCUGGUAGUCCACGCCGUAAACGAUGUCGACCAGCCGUUGGGUGCCUAGCGCAC